rnacentral:rRNA from 1 species
CCUGAAUUCGAAAGGGACGGAUUCAAGUCCAUCCGUUUAGCUCAGGCCGCCCGGCCCCGCCAGAUGGUGCCGGUCGCCCGCGGCGAUUCAUUUCGCUUGUGGUGUCGUUCCCGGCGCUCACUCGGUGGGGUGGCGUUGCUCUGGCGACGGAGGUGUGCACUUCCACCCUAGUAGAAACGUCGCGACCCGUUGGGUGCCGGUCUAAGGCCCGGGAAGGCAGACCACGUGUCCUGCGGGGAUUCUCGCAGGCGCGCGGACUCCUGGUGUCCCGGCCGGCUGCCCGACGGUAAGACCAGAGGAGUCGAUCCGCUACCUGGGAAACACUAUGGCUGUGUAGCGUCCGGCCCGGCGCCGACACGUGCGUGGAUUGAGGUGCAAACCGGGGGUGUCCGUGCUAAGCACGGCCCCGGCCUCGCCGCGUCGUCGGAAUUGCCGGUGUCCUCGGACUGGAUCGUUACUCCCGUCUGCGACGCCCACCUUCGGAUGGUCUCCCG